GGUCGGGUGAUAAAUGGAAACGAGCAUGUUCAUAAGGAUGGAAAACAUGGCGCUAAUGCUAUCCUUUUACCAGCAGGUGUAAGUGAAAAUGUUAAGGGAAAUCUGAUAGAAUGUAGAAUUGCUACAACAACUUAUGAUGAACAUACCAAGAUAGACAUCAAUGAGGGCACAAGACAGGGGAAUGAUUCAACAUUACCAUCGAAGGUGAAAGAAAAUGAAGGCUGUAAGCAGAGAGAUCAGACAUGCAUCACUAAAACAUUCGAGUCAAUUGCUGAUCUUGGCAUCGUAGGUGCCAAUGCAGAUCAUCUCAUCUUUUCAGGUGAUGAUAAAGAGAAAAAAAAGGAUCAAGAACAGGAAGACGAAGGUGAGACAGAGACAGAGAACACAAAAUAAAAUGGGAUCCAUUGCCAAAGUCCAACAUAGACUUCAUACAACAAGUUACGAUGAACAUAUAAAGGUAGACAUCAAUGAGGGCAUGAGACCAGGGAUUGAUUCAACAUUACCCACGAGCAUGAAAGAAAAUGAAAGCUGUGGGCAGAAAGAUCAGACAUGCGUCACUAAACCUUUCAAGUCAAUCACUGAUCAUCUUGUCAUUUCAUGUGAUGGGGCUUCAAAGAGUUUAAGUGAAAAGAAGCAAGUGCUUCAAACCGGGUUUUCUCAACCUCUUCAUGCAAAAGAGCUUGCUGACUUGAGCACUUAAGAAAAGGAUUUAGGUUCAAGCGAUGACCGUAUUAAAAGCAGAGGACCAGAGGACAAAGUGGAGCAGACUUGUGCAAGUCGUCAAAGCAGAGACAAAUAUGUAGAUUACUCAGUUGCUCAACCAAUCGCCAUUCCAGUUUGGAGGGGAAGUUUCAAAGUUAGGAAUUCUAAGCAUGACAGUAUUGAUGAGCUUGUUGCUCACAUUUCGAACAAAGCAUGCCAUAAGGUAUAUGCAGAAGCCUCUCAAUUUCAGCCAAUCCUCCAUCUUGAAAUGCUUCCAAAAUCCGACAUAUGGCCAAAAAGUUUUCAGAAAUCAGAACCAAAUGGCGAUAGCAUCGCACUCUAUUUCUUUCCAUCCAAGAUACGGAAAUGAUUCAUAAAGAACUUGCUUUCAAAGGGCUUGUGCAGAAUGCCGAGCUAUUGAUUUUUACUUCGACAGAAUUGCCUCUGCGCUACUGGAGAUUUCAAAACAAAUAUUAUCUGUGGGGUGUAUUUAGAGGAAAACCGGCUGCCCCAUCGAAUCAUCCUUCACGCAUAGGAUAAGUCGCUGAGCUUCCCUAGACAAGAAAGAGAUGUGAUGACCGGAGCCCUACUCAGUCCACAGAUUGAUUCUUCUACUAGUGGUUUAGGUGCCUCCUAGGCUUGUAUGUCAAGUGCUGGCCAUGAAAAUCGUUCGUGGCUGUUUUUCGAAGGCGAGAAACUUCAGCAUUUGAUGACAUAUUUUCCCAUGGUUUUUUUCUUGAUCAGAUUUCCACUCAAAAGAACAUCAAAAAAUGCUACACUUAGUGAAAAUUAAUCUUAUAUACUAGUAGUCUAUUAGUUAGUUAUAAGUUAAUUGAUGGUGCAGUAACUGCAGUUGUACAUUAAGAGGUUGCAGGAUCCAAGCCCCUAGCUCAAGUGGUUGAGGAGGGUGGCAAGGAUACCGCGCCAUCCUGGAGGUCUCGAGUUCGACUCUUGGAUGACGCAACUUGGGAUUAAUUUCCCAUGUGGGCCUAAACAAGGCUUGUUGCCUUGGGGCUUUGCAAGCUUACGGGCCUGGACCCGUCUGAGGGUGGACAACUUAUGGGCCUG